rnacentral:lncRNA from 1 species
GCUGUAGUUUGUUCAGAGCACAGACCUGAAGGUGCCUGUCUCUGAACCUACUGGUUUGAAGUUUCUUCAUAUUUCCAUCUUUAGGAUGAACGGAAAUCUGAGCAGGAGGGGUACACCAAUCCAGUCCUUAUGAAGUCAACGGUAGGUUCAUCACAUUUCUAAAUUUCAUUGAACGGUUCCUAUUUCAAAGAUAACUUUAAAAUUUUUAAUUGAUU